CUCUAAGCACUGCACAGUGGCAUAACAGAAACCUAACAUUAGGGCAGUUCACUCAAAGUGGAUCAAAUUUCUCUCCCCUCUCCAUCUUUUGUCCUGCCACCUCCAGACAUGGUUCUCCAAAAUAUUUCUCUGCCUCUGUUAGUCCUACAGGACCUUCCCCUGAGUGAGUAUGUCCAGGGAUGGCAGUAAUGGGGUUCCCUGGAAUUCUGUGCCCAGGUUUGGGGCACUUCACAAAUACAUUGGGGGGGAUCAAUGUUGCCCCAUGGCAGAAGCCCCAUGGGAUGCAGAAUGGCAUUAAGCCCCGGGGGAGCCAUUUCCUCACAACUGCAGCUACCCUGCCUUUCUGCCUUUCCCAUUCUUCACCUUGGCCGCAUUUGCAUUCCAAAAGAGUUUGGCCCUGUGAGGGCCUGUCUACAGGGUGAGUGAUGCAAGCAUCGGUUUUCUUCCUCCUCCCCACAGAAUAUAAAUAUAAGAUAAUUAACACAGAGAAUGCUUAAGUGUCUAAUCAAUAGGAAUACAAGGCAUUUCCAUAUGUCAGGGCCUGCUGGAAAGAGGCAGCCACAGGCAGUCCCUGGGAAAGGAGAUUGCACUGCCAGGCCGUUUGGAAGGGAUCGAAGGCUGCCAUCUCUGUCACCGCCCCUUCCUCCCGCCCCCCGAAAAUAGACGCAGAGCUUUUGCAAAGCCGAGAAUUCAGGCUCUGCUUAAUCACCCCUCCCCCAGUCAGCAGGGGCUGCCCUCUGGAAAUUGCCACCCAGGGGUCUCAGUCCCUAACUGACUGGCUUUUGGGAGGGGAGUGCUGGAGGCAGGCGGAGGCACCCACUCCGUGUCCCGCCCCCAGCAGCAUCACCAAAGGCAGGAGGAGCGGCACCCCAAGAACUGACCAUGGUAUAAGAAGAUAAGAGGAACAGAAGAAGACCCCACCUGGUCUAGCAUCUUGUUCUCACAGAUGUCUGUGGAAAACCCACAAUCAGGACCUGAGCACAAGAGCACUCUCCUUUCCCAUGGUUUCCAGCAUCUGGUAUUCAAAAGCAUUGCUGCCACCCACUGUAGGGGCAACGAAUAGCCAUCUUGGCUAGUAGCCAUCGAUAGCCCUCUCCUCCUCCAUGAAUUUGUCUAAUCGUCACGUAAAACUGUCUAGAUUGGUGGCCAUCGCUGCCUCCUGUGGGAGUGAGUUCCAUAGUUUAACUCUGUGCUGUGUGACGAAUCCUUCUUUUUAUCUGUCCUGAAUCUUCCAGCAUACAGCUUCAUUGGACGCCCAUGAGUGCUAGUCUUAUGAGAGGAGGGGAGAGACACGGCUUCCCCGAGCUGGUGUUCCCCAUCAAGGAUGCCAGAGCCCUCCUCCCAGCUGAAAAGCACUCCUUCUUCAAGCAGGAAUCGAAGAAGUCAGGGGAUUCUCCAUCUGCAUCUUUUCUUUCCUUUGAAAUCCAGCAAGUCCUCUUGGAGUGACACCAGCUGUUGUGGCAAUUCCACAAGGCAUCUGCUUAUGAACUGACAGGUUCUCUGCUCAAGUGGUUUAUUAUGUAAAUGUUACUCACCAUAAAAAUCAAUGCUGUGGGGUUUUUGUUGUUGUUUUUUUUUGCUAAGUGGCCAAUAUUUAUUUGGCUCAAGUGUUGUUUAAUUUGAUGCAUUUAUUAGGGGACAGUCAAAUGCCCGAGCUGGUCCUUAAGCUGCUUCGUACUGCUCCCUCCAUGCCUUGAAGCCUCCUGCGCUUUUGUCCCUGUGCAUAACUCAAGGACGGGAGUAAUUGAUAUGAAACUUUUAGAAAUUAAUUUUGCUGCAUCUACCCCUAAGAGGGAGUGAGAGACUGUGGGAUCAUUUAUAACAUCACAGUUAUUGGCCCUGACAAAACAAUACCUUAAAAACACAGCAAAGUAAAUUAUGGCGCACGCAAAUGGCUCGGGCCAGCCAUGGCCCUGAAUUGGACGAUGGCCAGGCAAGCGAAAACAAAGUAAAUAUGCUUUUGAUAUUAAUAACACAGACAAUAUUGAUCCACCAGCCAGUGUCACUUGUCUGCUCCGCGAGGAGAUUGCUUCAGGCAUUUUGCCCCCCACCCUCGGGGAGCCUCCCUCCUUGCAGGCCAUUUAAUUCCGCCAGUCUCUAAUUGUAUCAGACAAACCCAAGUCAAAGGAAGGGACCCCUGCUUGCCAAGGUGGGCUGUUAGUCAGAAAGUUGUCAGAAACAAAGAUAACUCAAUUCCUGGGUCUCGGACGCCGUUGUCUUUCUAAAUGUUUAUCAGAUCAACAUCUCCUUUGGCUCGGAGCCUGCUGUGACUGGGGGGAUGUGAACUCCAAUUACAGUGCCAUAAUUUUUAAAAGGAC